rnacentral:rRNA from 1 species
GAGUUUGAUCGUGGCUUAGGACGAACGCUGGCGGCGCGCUUAACACAUGCAAGUCGAGCGAGAACCUGGCCUUCGGGCCUGGGGAAAGCGGCGAACGGGUGAGUAACACGUGGGUAACCCACCCUUGGUACCGGGAUAGCCCGGGGAAACCCGGAUUAAUACCGGAUGGCCCAACAGCUCUUCGGGGCGGUUGGAAAAGGUAGCUUCGGCCUCCGACCAAGGACGGGCCCGCGGCGGAUUAGCUUGUUGGUGGGGUAACGGCCUACCAAGGCGACGAUCCGUAGCUGGUCUGAGAGGACGAUCAGCCACACUGGGACUGAGACACGGCCCAGACUCCUACGGGAGGCAGCAGUGGGGAAUCUUGCGCAAUGGGCGAAAGCCUGACGCAGCGACGCCGCGUGGGGGAAGAAGGCUUUCGGGUUGUAAACCCCUUUCAGGAAGGACGAAGCUACUCGGGUUAAUAGCCCAGAGGGUGACGGUACUUCCAGAAGAAGCCCCGGCUAACUACGUGCCAGCCGCCGCCGUAAU